CAACACUUUAUUUAUUCAUAAUAAUUCAAAUAAAUUUUACAAAGAUAUCUUUGAUGCAUAAACGUAGUGAAUUCAGACUGUACAUGUAUCAAAAUAAAUGUUUCAACUUCGUGUAUAUCACAAUCCUUAGUUAACUAAAAACGAUCCAAUUUUGUCAUUAGAUAUGUUCUCUUAUGACUUAUGUGUGCGUAUUUUAACGGAACGGAGUUAUUUCUCGUAUGUACGCAGAGAAAUCCUGUACAAUAGUUACUUUUGUUUCUUUACAGUAGACGUAUCUUCAGACGCUAUUUUCUUGUAAUCCGCCAUUUCUUUAGUAUAUCUUUCACGAUCAUCUUCUGCCUGUUUGGUAUAUUUUGCUUUCCCUGCAGUAUCAAUUUCAGCCCACAUCUUGCCCAAAACUUUGGCGAUUUCUGUCAUGGGUAAAUCUGGCUGAGAUUCUCUAACUUUGGGUCUCUCGUCACCACAGAAAAACAUAUAGGCUGAUCUA